rnacentral:rRNA from 2 species
AUACAUGCAAGUCGAGCGAAUGAUGAGGAGCUUGCUCCUCUGAUUUAGCGGCGGACGGGUGAGUAACACGUGGGUAAUCUGCCUGUAAGACGGGGAUAACUCCGGGAAACCGGGGCUAAUACCGGAUAAUAAGAGAAGAAGCAUUUCUUCUUUUUGAAAGUCGGUUUCGGCUGACACUUACAGAUGAGCCCGCGGCGCAUUAGCUAGUUGGUGAGGUAACGGCUCACCAAGGCGACGAUGCGUAGCCGACCUGAGAGGGUGAUCGGCCACACUGGGACUGAGACACGGCCCAGACUCCUACGGGAGGCAGCAGUAGGGAAUCUUCGGCAAUGGGCGAAAGCCUGACCGAGCAACGCCGCGUGAGCGAUGAAGGCCUUCGGGUCGUAAAGCUCUGUUGUUAGAGAAGAACAAGUACGAGAGUAACUGCUCGUACCUUGACGGUACCUAACCAGAAAGCCACGGCUAACUACGUGCCAGCAGCCGCGGUAAUACGUAGGUGGCAAGCGUUAUCCGGAAUUAUUGGGCGUAAAGCGCGCGCAGGCGGUCUCUUAAGUCUGAUGUGAAAGCCCACGGCUCAACCGUGGAGGGUCAUUGGAAACUGGGAGACUUGAGUGCAGGAGAGAAAAGUGGAAUUCCACGUGUAGCGGUGAAAUGCGUAGAGAUGUGGAGGAACACCAGUGGCGAAGGCGGCUUUUUGGCCUGUAACUGACGCUGAGGCGCGAA